AUGAACGCUGGCGGCGUGCCUAAUACAUGCAAGUCGAGCGAACAGACGAGGAGCUUGCUCCUCUGACGUUAGCGGCGGACGGGUGAGUAACACGUGGAUAACCUACCUAUAAGACUGGGAUAACUUCGGGAAACCGGAGCUAAUACCGGAUAAUAUAUUGAACCGCAUGGUUCAAUAGUGAAAGACGGUUUUGCUGUCACUUAUAGAUGGAUCCGCGCCGCAUUAGCUAGUUGGUAAGGUAACGGCUUACCAAGGCAACGAUGCGUAGCCGACCUGAGAGGGUGAUCGGCCACACUGGAACUGAGACACGGUCCAGACUCCUACGGGAGGCAGCAGUAGGGAAUCUUCCGCAAUGGGCGAAAGCCUGACGGAGCAACGCCGCGUGAGUGAUGAAGGUCUUCGGAUCGUAAAACUCUGUUAUUAGGGAAGAACAAAUGUGUAAGUAACUAUGCACGUCUUGACGGUACCUAAUCAGAAAGCCACGGCGAACUACAU
rnacentral:rRNA from 1 species